rnacentral:rRNA from 1 species
CUUCGGAGUGGAGGUGGGCAAACGGGUGAGUAACGCGUGGGAAACUACCUGGUGGUCUGGAAUAACUUGGGGAAACUCAAGCUAAUACCGGAUGUGCCCUUCGGGGGAAAGAUUUAUCGCCAUUGGACGUGCCCGCGUCGGAUUAGCUAGUUGGUGAGGUAAUGGCUCACCAAGGCUACGAUCCGUAGCUGGUCUUAAAGGAUGAUCAGCCACACUGGGACUGAAACACGGCCCAAACUCCUACGGGAGGCAGCAGUGGGGAAUAUUGGACAAUGGGCGCAAGCCUGAUCCAGCCAUGCCGCGUGAGUGAUGAAGGCCUUAGGGUUGUAAAGCUCUUUCGCCGGGGAAGAUAAUGACGGUACCCGGAAAAAAAGCCCCGGCUAACUUCGUGCCAGCAGCCGCGGUAAUACGAAGGGGGCUAGCGUUGUUCGGAAUUACUGGGCGUAAAGCGCACGUAGGCGGGUCGUUAAGUCAGGGGUGAAAGCCCGGAGCUCAACUCCGGAAUUGCCCUUGAUACUGGCGACCUUGAGUCCGAGAGAGGUAAGUGGAACUCCGAGUGUAAAGGUGAAAUUCGUAGAUAUUCGGAAGAACACCAGUGGCGAAGGCGGCUUACUGGCUCACGUACUGACACUGAGGUGCGAAAGCGUGGAGAGCAAACAGGAUUAUAUACGCUUGGUAGUCCACGCCGUAAACGAUGGGUGCUAUCCCUCGGACAGCAUGCUGUUCUGUGGCGCGCUAACGCAUUAUACACCCCGACUGGGGAGUACGGCCGCAAGAUUAAAACUCAUCUAAUUGAUGGGGGCCGCCCAAUCAGGGAGAUGUGGUGUAUUCUUCGAACGUUCAAACCUAACUACCCUUGACUGUCUCGUUUGUUACCGGAAAGUUAUCCUACACUUCGGCUCGGCAGACACAGCGCUGCAUGG